GAACCCGGAGAUAGCUGGUUCUCCCCGAAAUAGCUUUAGGGCUAGCGUCGAGAGAAGAGUUGCGUGAAGGUAGAGCACUGAAUAUGUGAUGGCCCCAUCUCGGGGUACUGAGCAUAAUCAAACUGCGAAUGUCACGCCAACAUGCUCGGCAGUCAGACAGCGGGUGAUAAGGUCCGUUGUCAAGAGGGAAACAGCCCAGACCAUCAGCUAAGGUCCCAAAAUGUAUGCUAAGUGGAAAAGGAUGUGGAGAUGUACAGACAACUAGGAGGUUGGCUCAGAAGCAGCCAUCCUUUAAAGAGUGCGUAACAGCUCACUAGUCGAAUGACUCUGCGCCGAUAAUUUACCGGGGCUAAGCAUACUACCGAAGCUAUGGAUCCCAAGGGAUGGUAGGGGAGCGUUCCAUGAACGGAGAAGUACGACCGAAAGGACGUGUGGAGAUCAUGGAAGAGAGAAUGCCGGUGUGAGUAGCGGAACGUGGGUGAGAAUCCCACGCACCGAAAACCCAAGGUUUCCAGAGGAAGGUUCGUCCGCUCUGGGUAAGUCGGGACCUAAGGCGAGGCCGAAAGGCGUAGUCGAUGGACAACAGGUAGAGAUUCCUGUACCCGUAUAUAUGUGAAGGAAUGACGGAGAGAGGAAGCUGCAGCCAGCGGCUGGAAGAGCUGGUGCAAGCGAGAUAUCGGGAUGGCAGGCAAAUCCACCAUCCGAAACGAGAAGGCGUGAAGCGUACGGAAAGCUACGGCGAGUACGGAAGGCAGUGGAGGAACUUCCAAGAAAAGUUUCUAACGUUAAGUAUAUAUGGCCCGUACCGAAAAUGGACACACAUGGGUGAGGAGAGAAUCCUAAGGUGAGCGAGAGAACUAUAGCUAAGGAACUCUGCAAAAUGACUCCGUAACUUAGGGAGAAGGAGUGCUCAUAGAGAUAUGAGCCGCAGUGAAACGGCCCAAGCGACUGUUUACCAAAAACACAGCUCUCUGCUAAGCCGCAAGGCGAAGUAUAGGGGGUGACGCCUGCCCGGUGCUGGAAGGUUAAGGGGAGGGGUUAACGCAAGUGAAGCCCUGAACUGAAGCCCCAGUAAACGGCGGCCGUAACUAUAACGGUCCUAAGGUAGCGAAAUUCCUUGUCAGGUAAGUUCUGACCCGCACGAAAGGCGUAACGAUUUGGGCGCUGUCUCAGCUGUAGACUCGGUGAAGUCUUAGUACCUGUGAAGAUGCAGGUUACCCGCGACUAGACGGAAAGACCCCAUGGAGCUUCACUGCAGGUUGAUAUUGGGAUUUGAUGCAGCAUGUACAGGAUAGGUAGGAGGCAAAGAGAUGGAUACGCCAGUAUUCAAGGAGCCGCUGUUGGGAUACUACCCCUGUUGUAUUGGAUUUCUAACCGGACGACGUAGAGCCGUUGACGGGACAGUGUCAGUCGGGCAGUUUGACUGGGGCGGUCGCCUCCCAAAGAGUAACGGAGGCGCCCAAAGAUACCCUCAGCUUGGAUGGAAACCAAGCGCAGAGUGCAAAGGCAAAAGGGUGUUUGACUGCGAGACCUACAAGUCGAGCAGGGACGAAAGUCGGGCUUAGUGAUCCGGCGGUGCUGAAUGGAAAGGCCGUCGCUCAACGGAUAAAAGCUACCCUGGGGAUAACAGGCUGAUCUCCCCCAAGAGUCCACAUCGACGGGGAGGUUUGGCACCUCGAUGUCGGCUCAUCGCAUCCUGGGGCUGUAGUCGGUCCCAAGGGUUGGGCUGUUCGCCCAUUAAAGCGGUACGCGAGCUGGGUUCAGAACGUCGUGAGACAGUUCGGUCCCUAUCUGUCGUGGGCGCAGGAAAUUUGAGAAGAGCUGUCCUCAGUACGAGAGGACCGGGAUGGACGCAUCAAUGGUGGACCAGUUGUCACGCCAGUGGCAUAGCUGGGUAGCUAAAUGCGGAAGGGAUAAACGCUGAAGGCAUCUAAGUGUGAAACCCACUUCAAGAUGAGAUUUCCCAUUGCGCAAGCAAGUAAGACCCCUUAAAGACGAUAAGGUAGAUAGGUCAGGAGUGUAAGCAUGGUGACAUGUUAAGCGGACUGAUACUAAUAGGUCGAGGGCUUGACCG
rnacentral:rRNA from 1 species